UACGUAGGGGGCAAGCGUUGUCCGGAAUCAUUGGGCGUAAAGCGCGUGUAGGCGGUUCGGUAAGUCUGCUGUGAAAGUCCAGGGCUCAACCCUGGGGAUGCCGGUGGAUACUGUCGGACUAGAGUACGGAAGAGGCGAGUGGAAUUCCCCGGUGUAGCGGUGAAAUGCGCAGAUAUCGGGAGGAACACCAAUGCGAAGGCAGCUCGCUGGGACGUUACUGACGCUGAGACGCGAAAGCGUGGGGAGCAAACAGG
rnacentral:rRNA from 1 species